AGGAGCAUCAGGGCGACUAACGCUUGGACUCGUUGAUAAUAAAAUCGAGUUUUCAAGCGAGGAAAAUCCUCCACCCGCAGCUGCUUGCUAGUAAUAGCAUGCUCGAGAGGGCAUAUACUGGUAACAGAAACGAUACUCUGCGCGGCUAUGCGAUGAUGUUGAAAGACCGAGAUCACGCAGCAGAGAUGAAACGGACUAGUGUGAGUGGGUGCAAGCCAAAAUACUUGCCAAUGACUGCUAAAGAGGCGAGAAGUAGGCGCUUAGUAAAAUGUCGUCACUCUCUGCAUAAGAGAGCAACUCGAAUGUGAAAUAAAAUUCGAGUAAGAGAACAAAAGAGGAUUUACUCGAUGCUCCU
rnacentral:RNase_P_RNA from 1 species